GGUCAAGCGAAUAAGAGCUAAUGGU
rnacentral:rRNA from 1 species